rnacentral:rRNA from 1 species
AUUGAACGCUGGCGGCAGGCUUAACACAUGCAAGUCGAGCGGAGAUGAGGUGCUUGCACCUUAUCUUAGCGGCGGACGGGUGAGUAAUGCUUAGGAAUCUGCCUAUUAGUGGGGGACAACAUUACGAAAGGAAUGCUAAUACCGCAUACGUCCUACGGGAGAAAGCAGGGGAUCUUCGGACCUUGCGCUAAUAGGUGAGCCGAAGUCGGAUUAGCUAGUUGGUGGGGUAAAGGCCUACCAAGGCGACGAUCUGUAGCGGGUCUGAGAGGAUGAUCCGCCACACUGGGACGGAGACACGGCCCAGACUCCUACGGGAGGCAGCAGUGGGGAAUAUUGGACAAUGGGGGGAACCCUGAUCCAGCCAUGCCGCGUGUGUGAAGAAGGCCUUAUGGUUGUAAAGCACUUUAAGCGAGGAGGAGGUUACUGAGACUAAUACUCUUGGAUAGUGGACGUUACUCGCAGAAUAAGCACCGGCUAACCCUGUGCCAGCCGCCGCCGUAACAC